UCUCACAGAUGAGCAAAGAAAGUGGUUCUUUGAGAUGGAAUCUACUUCCGUCGAAGAUGCUGUGAA
rnacentral:pre_miRNA from 1 species